UAUUACUUUUCUCUUCACCGCAAACAGUCCUGCUUAUGUGCGCAAUCCACACUUGGCUGCACUGAAAGAAGACAUUCUCUAUCACUUCAGUCUUGGUACUGCCACUCAUGACCUGCCAGCCAUGUUCGGUGAUGUCAAAUUUGUGUGUGUUGGGGGUAGUCCCUGGAGGAUGAAAGAAUUCAUUGAGUACGUUGCUAUUGAACUGGG